UACGUAGGGUGCGAGCGUUAAUCGGAAUUACUGGGCGUAAAGCGUGCGCAGGCGGUUUUGUAAGUCAGAUGUGAAAUCCCCGGGCUUAACCUGGGAACUGCGUUUGAAACUGCAAGGCUAGAGUGUGGCAGAGGGGGGUGGAAUUCCACGUGUAGCAGUGAAAUGCGUAGAGAUGUGGAGGAACACCGAUGGCGAAGGCAGCCCCCUGGGUUAACACUGACGCUCAGGCACGAAAGCGUGGGGAGCAAACAGG
rnacentral:rRNA from 1 species